AUUGAACGCUGGCGGCAGGCCUAACACAUGCAAGUCGAACGAGUGGGGGACGGGUGCGUUAUGUCUGGGAACAUGCCUGAUGGAGGGGGAUAACUACUGGAAAAGGUUGCUAAUACCGCCUUCCAUCCGAUGUGCCCCGAUGGGCAUAGCUUGUUGGUGGGGUAACGGCUCACCAAGGCGACGAGCCCUACCUGGUAUGAGAGGAUGACCAGACACACUGGAACUGAGACACGGUCCAGACUCCUACGGGAGGCAGCAGUGGGGAAUAUUGCACAAUGGGCGCAAGCCUGAUGCAGCCAUGCCGCGUGUAUGAAGAAGGCCUUCGGGUUGUAAAGUACUUUCAGCGGGGAGGCGUUACCCGCAGAAGAAGCACCGGCUAACUCCGUGCCAGCAGCCGCGGUAAUAC
rnacentral:rRNA from 1 species